CCUUCUCCCCACUAGUUCAGAGGAAAGAAAGAAAAAGAAAUCGCCCCCUCACCAUAAUCAGCCCUCCUUAAAACAGUAAUCUCCACCUUUAAAAAAUUAUAUAUCUAAUAUGCGGUGGCAAAAUCCCUGAGUAAGGUCGGAAUGCCCCACCGCUCCCCGUUUUUCCCCAAUACUACGCCCACCCUGGGAGGAGAGGAGGAGGGUCGCACAAAUACACGUACCCGGACACCCCUAUUCUCUAGAAUCGCCUCUUUCCAGGGUCUGAGGUUUCAGGCGAGAAGUGAACCAUGCAGGGGAGGACCUCUGCCCGAGGAGGUUCAGGAGAAGAGCAAACUGUGUGCGCUCCGGUGCCCGGGCGCGGGGCUCGUGGACGCGGGAGCGUGUCGCUCCGGCCGGGGAGGCGCCGGCAGCCCGGGAUGGGCGCAGGGCGAUCCCGGCGCGGCUAGAAGGGAGGACACAGAGGGGCGGACUGGUCAGGCAGGGGACUUACCUGGUCAUGUUGGCUCCGGGCAGCCGCCGCCACCGCCUCCCGCGCCGCCACCAGCACUUUGCUCCAGCGCCUUCGCGCCCCGCCACGGCCGCGCAGCCUGCGCCUGCCCGCGCCGCCGCCUCCGGACGGCCAAUUUAAUCCCGCCGAGCAGCGGCCGCCGCCGCGGGAACCCCCCUGAUCGCCGCCGCCGCCCAGUCCCGGUGCGGCCAGCCCAGUCCAGAGCGAGGAAGUGGAGGAGAGUCAGCGAGAAAAAUGCAUUCUGUCUUGUAAUAUCCAGAAACUUCUGGAUACACUGAUCAACACCAGUUCAAAUUUCUUCCGGAUCCUUGCCAUUGACAUAAUCCUGACUCACAAGAGAAGCAAAGCAAGCCUCGAAUGACAACUCCAUCUUGUCCACCAAGGUGCUGCUAGAAGUUUUAGGCUUGCCAGGAGCAGGGGCUCUGGAGGCUGCCCUGCAAACAUACCACCCAGUGGAGCUGCUAUGUCUGGGAUGCAUCUGUUUUUAUUUUUUUCCCCCACAAGGUAAUUUUGUUUUUUAUCCUGCCUUCUGACAUACCUGAUAAUUAUUUGUUGAAUACCGAAUAUAUAAAAAAAUAUUUUAAAGACAAUUUGAGGCUAUAUCUGAUGUUAUAAUCCCCAGAAAUGAUUAAUUUUUGCAUAUUACUCAGGAAUCCUGCCCAUUCAAGCUUGAGCUG
rnacentral:lncRNA from 1 species